rnacentral:rRNA from 1 species
UACGUAGGGUGCGAGCGUUACUCGGAAUUACUGGGCGUAAAGCGUGCGCAGGCGGUUUUGUAAGCCAGGUGUGAAAUCCCCGGGCUCAACCUGGGAAUGGCAUUUGGGACUGCAAGGCUGGAGUGCGGCAGAGGAGACUGGAAUUCCUGGUGUAGCAGUGAAAUGCGUAGAUAUCAGGAGGAAUACCGGUGGCGAAGGCGGGUCUCUGGGCAGUAACUGACGCUGAGGAGCGAAAGCGUGGGGAGCGAACAGG